CUGGCAUAACUAAUCACCUGAUGUUUUACAUGUGGUGUAGUACACUGCUCUCUUUAAUUCUUCUGUGUUUUCAUUGACUAUUCCUAUUUGCUUAUCAUUGGUGGGUCAAUGUAUUCUUCUCAUCCAAGAGACCCAUAAUGCCUAUGACUUUGAGAUCUGGGAGGAGUCAGUUCUAUGGGUUUUCAAACAUCAUUAUUCAUUAAUAAGUUGUGUUUUUGUAGUCUCUAGUCACCUACAGGUUACCCUGUUGGAUGGACAUUUUCCAGUAUGCAGUGAGAAUCCAGUGCCCUCGUAUCAGAAUGGAAUUUUCCCUAGUGUGGUUCUGCUGGACACUCCUCUAAAGCCAUGCAUACCCUGUAAUGAAUCAGCUCUUACUAAAGCCCUCCUUCUGCUCCAAAUUAUCAUGCUAGAGAAACAGCCCUGCAGGACACAUUCUCCCAACUCUCACUGACUAUAAAGACUCUGCUAUGUUUCAGGAA